rnacentral:tRNA from 1 species
GGAGGAGUGCCAGAGUGGUUGAAUGGGACGCUCUCGAAAAGCGUUAUCCGCUUUCCGCGGAUCGAGGGUUCGAAUCCCUCCUCCUCCGCCA